ensembl:lncRNA
CACAAAAUCAACCAAUCACAGACUUGGUUUCAAAAAUUCUGAUUGGCUCUUACGGUCUCCAAUCAGCUCGCUAGCUACUGCUUUCCGGACACCGGAAACACUGUCCACUCAGCCUCGCUUCUUGCAGAUAGAGGGAUUUUUGAUUUACUCUGCAGCUAAAGAAGAGAUGGCAGAAUCAAACAAUGGCUCCAAUAAUACUACACCACAGUAUCAGGUGAGUUUAAUUUUUUUUGUGUGAAUUUAGUAAUUUACUGUCCUUUCUGUUUAAUAUGCUGUGAAAUUGUAGUUACAGAUGCAGCUGUAGAGUUUAAGCUAGCCUUAUGGGUAAUUACCAGCGUAGUUGUCUUACUGAGGCAGUGUAUCGUAAUCAUGUUUUUUAGGGUAAUGGUGCAGUUGAGUCAGCAGUAAGAAAUCUGGUGUCUUUGCUGCUUAACAACAUAUCCACAAAUCCUUCAGGGAGGCCAACAGAGAGUGGGCAGCCGGAGCCUAGAAAUCUGACUAUCCAGCAAGAGAUGACAAGGUUUUUGCUUUUUUUGUGUGUUUUUUUUAUUUUAACUUUUUGCAAUCUUUUCUGUUAAAGUUAUUUGGUUUGUGGAUUUAUCAACAUUGAUUUUUAAAUUAAAAUGUGCUAUUAAGGACUGAUGUCAUAUUUAAUAACUUUAUUAAACAAUAACCCUUAUGUUAUGCAACACUGCAUUUUUUAAACUCAUGCAUUUUCAUCCCACAGGUCAUUUCCAGGAUAUUUCAAAUCACACUUGAGCCGUGGUAAAAAGAGAUGUUUAACAUCUACUAAGCAGCUUGUUAAGGCAGGCAGUAAGACCACAGGCCUCAGUUUUUAUUUGCUGUCAAAAAACACAUCCUACACACCUUUGCCAGCUGAGGAGCUUGAACUCCUACAAGCUGGCAUGGGGAGACAAACAGUGUCUCUUCCAGAAGAUGGUGACUAGGGCUGCUCAAUUAAUCGAAUUUUAAUCACGAUUACGAUCUGGGCUUUCAACGAUCAUUAAAAAUGACUGAGCCGAUUAUUAGCCCCUCCCUAAUUUAUCCGCGACACCUUAAAGGCCGGUCCGUGAAAAUAUUGUCGGGCAUAAACUGGUCCGUGGCACAAAAAAGGUUGGAGACCGCUGAUUAAGAGGACCCGAGGGAAGCUCGGAAAGCUAAGCAGAAGUUAUUUGGAGAGUGACUGCCGUUGGUUGAAAAGAGAGUUUAAAAGAAAAAAACUUCAGUGGUGUUGCACACUAUUUUAUAUUAUUUUUUUAAAGUCAUUGUUAACCCUUUAAAGCCGGUCAGAGCAGCACGCUCCGUUUUGCGUAACUAUUUUUAAAUCCCUGUAGAACCUGAACCGUGUAAGCUAGCG